rnacentral:tRNA from 1 species
GCCGAAGUGGCGGAAUUGGCAGACGCGCUGGAUUCAAAAUCCAGUUGGUGCAAACCAGUGUGGGUUCGAGUCCCACCUUCGGUAC